AGUGCUCCCAUGUCUCCCAGUGUCCUCAUGACUCAGUGCCCCCAUGUGUCGAUUACUCCAGGUCUCAGUGUUCCUAUGUAUCAGUGUCUCAGUGCCCCAUGUCUCCCAGUGUCGUGUCCCCAGGUCUCCCAGUGAUCCUAUGUAUCACAGUGUCUCAAUGCCCCAUGUCUCCCUGUGUCCCCAUGUCACUAGGACACUAGGAAGACGGGGAGACCUCGGGACACGGGGAGACCUAGGGACACGGAGACACAAGUGACACUGGGAGACUAAGGGACUCUGGCUGGGACACAUGGGGACAAUGGGAAAAUAGGGGACAUUUGAAGACAUAGGGACACAGACACCAGGGACACAGACACUAGAGACACUGGCUAGGGGACAUGGGGACAUUGAGACAUGGGGGCACUGGGAGACAUGGGGACACUGAGACACCAGGGCCACAGACACUAGGGACACUAGCUUGGAGACAUGGGGACAUUGUGACACUUGAGGCAAUGAGAGACAUGGAGGCACUAGGAGACAUGGGGACAGUGAGAGACUGGGAGACUAGGGGCACUGAGACACCAGGGACACUGGCUGGGAGACAUGGGGACAUUGUGUCCCCAUGUGUCUGUGUCAUAAUAUCUCCCAAUGUCCCUUAGUGUCUCAGUGUCUGCCAUAAUGUCUCCCAAUGUCCUUUAGUGUCUCAGUGUCUGCCAUAAUGUCUCCCAGUAUCCCUUAGUGUCUCAGUGUCUGCCAUAAUGUCUCCCAAUGUCCCUUAGUGUCUCAGUGUCUGCC